rnacentral:rRNA from 1 species
GACGAACGCUGGCGGCGUGCUUAACACAUGCAAGUCGAACGGAAAGGCCUCUUUCGGGGGGUACUCGAGUGGCGAACGGGUGAGUAACACGUGAGUAACCUGCCCUUUACUUUGGGAUAACUUCAGGAAACUGGGGCUAAUACCGGAUAGGAGCUCCUGCUGCCUGGUGGGGGUUGGAAAGUUUCGGCGGUUGGGGGUGGGCUCGCGGCUUAUCAGCUUGUUGGUGGGGUAGUGGCUUACCAAGGCUUUGACGGGUAGCCGGCCUGAGGGGGUGACCGGCCACAUUGGGACUGAGAUGAGGCCCAGACGCCUACGGGAGGAAGCAGUGGGGAAUCUUGCACCAUGGGUGGAAGCCUGAUGCAGCAAGGCCGUGUGCGGGAUGACGGUCUUCGGGUUGUAAAACGCUUUCGCUCAUGACGAAGCUUUGUGUGACGGUAGUGGGUAAAGAAGCACCGGCUAACUACGUG